rnacentral:rRNA from 1 species
UACGGAGGGGACUAGCGUUGUUCGGAAUUACUGGGCGUAAAGCGCACGUAGGCGGAUUGUUAAGUCGGGGGUGAAAUCCUGGAGCUCAACUCCAGAACUGUCUUCGAUACUGGCGAUCUCGAGUUCGGGAGAGGUGAGUGGAACUGCGAGUGUAGAGGUGAAAUUCGUAGAUAUUCGCAAGAACACCAGUGGCGAAGGCGGCUCACUGGCCCGAUACUGACGCUGAGGUGCGAAAGCGUGGGGAGCAAACAGG